CACCCUUUAGGGACCAAUGUACCCAAUAGCUCAUGGAAGAAAAAAAUCAAAUCAGGACAUCCUUGGUUUCCAGGCUACCGAAAUAUGGAACGAAAACUUUAGGAAGUGUUUUGCAACCUAUGCCAAAUGGAACGGCUGUUAGUUUAGCAGGAAAUAACGGUGGCAAAAAUUUUGGCAAGCACAAUGGCACUGUUCGCAUGUCUUCCUUUUCUUUCAACUGGAAAAAAUCAAAUAAAUAUCAACUUCAUGAUCAAAAUGGGAGAGAGACCAGCUCUAAACAUAACUGUAAUGAAAAAUUAAUUGAUUCUGAGAAAUAUCCUCAAUCUCAAGGAGCGUUGGGUAAUGAUGUGCUCAGGGUGGGUUUGAACAGUACUACUUCGGUUUCAUCAAAAGCAGCAAAGCAAACCAAUAUGUUUGUAUCUUCUACUGAGGAGUUAAACCCAAAGUCUUUGCCUGGACUCUCUAGUUCAGCAAAAUUUGCCAAAGGUACCCUGUCAGGAAGGACCUCGUAUUCCGGACUCAAUGCUCCAAAAUCACAUUUAAAUGGAUUUUAUGGAAACAGGCCGGUGGUAGGUUUGCAGAGACCUAGAGCUAAUUCCAAUGCCACAAGGACAAGUUCAGGAGAAAGCCUGGCACAAUCUACAGACAAUAGCAAGGCUUUUUCCUGUGAAAAAAUGGUAAGAUCACAAAGUUUUUCACAUUCAGUUCAGAAUUCGUUCCUUCCUGCUGCAUCUUUAACCAGGUCACAUUCCUUUAAUAAAGCUGUGGAUCUUACAAGGCCUUAUCACAGUCAAAAUCUAGCUGCCAGGACAUCUCAGAGGUCGACUUUGUUGUCAAGAAAUGCACAUCAGUUGGAUAUACCCAAUGGAAAUGAACCUAUGAAGUAUGGAUUUACCAGGCCCUACUCUGGUCUGUUGGCUCCUUGUUCAAAGAAGCCCCCACUGUCAAAUGGAUCUGGGUCAGCACAUUCUUUUGGAUACAGAUUAAGUCGGCCUUCUCUGAUGAAGCCUACCAGGCAGCAAUUUGCUGGAAAUAUCGUUGUGGAUGACAGCAAAAGUACAACUCCUGAUACAUGCAUUGUGGAGAACUCUGAAAUGUCAACAAAUAUUAAUAGAGCAAUUGAGAGAAACAGUAUUAUAGAGAGCAAUGCUCAAAGAACAGGAUCUGAUGAGGGCCUGCAUGAAAGUAUGGGAAAGCAUGGGUCGAAAGUCAUGUGUAUGAGUGAUGAUGGAGAUGAAAUAUCUAUAUCUUCUUUGUCAUCCUCUGAAAAAAAUGAUUUGAGCGAAGACUUCAGUGACGAUUUCAUAGAUAUAGAAGACCCAAACAGAACUAUGCAAAUACAGCAAAAGGAGAGCUCCCUUCAAGAAUUAGAGCAUGGGCGUAUGUCGUCGAUUGAGCCAUUCACUUCUCUCAAGGAAAGCGGAGGAUCUUGCAGUAAUGCUGAUGACUGGCUUGAUAUAAAUGUGCCUGCAGUAGAUGACAACAGUGAAAGCGCAAAGCGUACUGGUGAGAAUGUGAUUUCUCCAGAGAUGAAUUACAGAGCUGGGUCCUCUUUUGAACUUUCUCCAUCUGACAGCUCUGAUGGCACGUAUAUGUGGGAUGAAGAAGGGUUGGAACCUAUUGGAAGUGUUCAUCCAUGUGGAAGUUAUGAAUCUUCAGAAAUGAACAGCAUA